rnacentral:misc_RNA from 1 species
AAGUCGUAACAAGGUCUCCGUAGGUGAACCUGCGGAGGGAUCAUUAACACGUUUUUUAAACGUUUUUCAACCAAAAAACCGGAAACGAAAAAGUGUUGAAAAGGCAACAAUGGCAUUCAUUUGCACUGUUUUCUUUUCCCUUUUUUUCUUCUCAACCCUUUUCCAAUCAUAACAAUGAAUUGACCUGUACUAUCAUUCCUCUUCAGUGAAGAGGAAUGAAAGUUGAUAUCAUAAUUGAGAGCACGACUCUUAGCAACGGAUAUCUUGGUUCUC